CCCUUAGACGUCCUGGGCCGCACGCGUGCUACACUGACGCCUACAGCGAGUACUUCCCAGCCCCGAGAGGUGGCUGGUAAUCAGCAAUAGGCGUCGUGAUGGGGAUAGAUCUUUGGAAUUAUGGAUCUUGAACGAGGAAUGCCUAGUAAGCGCAGGUCAUUAGCCUGCGUUGAUUAAGUCCCUGCCCUUUGUACACACCGCCCGUCGCUCCUACCGAUUUCGAGUGGUCCGGUGAAUCUUUCGGACUGCGCGCGGCUUCGUGCCGUGUCGCGGAAAGUCAGGUAAACCUUAUCACUUAGAGGAAGGAGAAGUCGUANCA
rnacentral:rRNA from 1 species